rnacentral:rRNA from 1 species
AUGAUGGAUAGAUUAUCUCCCUGCUCUGCUGCAAGGGGGACUGCAGAUAUAUUUUCUUGUUUAUUUAGAUAUGUACCUACUAUGGUUUAUAUCUGGGUGCAAUGCAUGGAUUCGACCGUUGGGCUUACUCUGGAGCGCUUGAAAGUGGCUGGCAGCGCCACGACAACAGAAGUUUGCAUACUGUCCAGUCUUGCUAGCACGCGGAAACAAAUGGGAUUUCCAAAGAGGAACAAAAUUCCACAUGUUCCCUGCUCAGGAAAACGCACAAAGGGAAUUUGUUUUCUGUCGAUUACUGAUUUUUAA